GGAUAGCUCAGUUGGUUAGAGCGUGGUGCUGAUAAUGCCAAGGUUGCAGGUUUGAUCCCCAGGUGGGACA